rnacentral:rRNA from 1 species
GAUGAACGCUAGCGGCAUGCUUUACACAUGCAAGUCGAACGGUAACAGGGUGCUUGCACCGCUGACGAGUGGCGAACGGGUGAGCAAUGCGUCGGAACGUGCCGAGUAGUGGGGGAUAACGCAGCGAAAGUUGUGCUAAUACCGCAUACGUACUGAGGUAGAAAGUGGGGGACCUUCGGGCCUCACGCUAUUCGAGCGGCCGACGUCUGAUUAGCUAGUAGGUGGGGUAAAGGCCUACCAAGGCAACGAUCUGUAGCUGGUCUGAGAGGAUGAUCAGCCACACUGGGACUGAGACACGGCCCAGACUCCUACGGGAGGCAGCAGUGGGGAAUUUUGGACAAUGGGGGCAACCCUGAUCCAGCCAUUCCGCGUGAGUGAAGAAGGCCUUCGGGUUGUAAAGCUCUUUCGGCAGGAACGAAACGGCGAGCUCUAACAUAGCUCGCUAAUGACGGUACCUGAAGAAGAAGCACCGGCUAACUACGUGCCAGCCGCCGCAGUAAAAC